CUUAACAUGCAUCUGUGUUGAGCUGUUCCCGAUCGCGAGUGCAGAAAUCGGCACUACAGUGCAGUUUUCGCAUCGAUUUUCAUCACUUCGCUAGUCGGAGUAGACCGAUCAUUCGCGGGGUUGGGAAAGGGUCCCAACGAGAUCAUAGAACAGACUUUAGCAAGCACUGAGGGCAUUAGUGCCUUUGGGGUUAGAGGCCCUACUAAAACUGGGUUAAAGGCCCAUAACAUAAUAGCAGGGUUGUGUU